GGGACUUAGAACAAGAAAAGGCUCUGAAACAGAUCCAAGAUGUUGUUUGAGCCAUGCAACUAGAAGAUCUCAUAGAACUAAAGUUAUCUAAUUUACAGAAAAGGUUUUACGUGAUGUCUAUUGUACAGAUUCAUAUGAAAACCAUAGUUCAAACUCCAAGGUUUAAGAAGUAAGAAAGAUCAUGUCAUUUGCAACAAACAUGCAUGCAUAUUUGAAAAGCAACUGUAAGUAUGCUAUUGGACAUUGGUAAAGAUUGAAUAUCUGACCAUGGCAUAUCAAGAAACCGUGGAAUGAGUACUGCUUAUCAAGAUCUGGGUGUGAGAAGACUUAAAAAGUCAGAUAGUCAGUGAGAACCAGCUAGAAUCCAUGAAAUUGUGACUAAUAAGAAUCCCAGAGAAGUUCUGCCCUAAUGGAGUCAACUUG
rnacentral:lncRNA from 1 species